GUGCUGGGGAGAAGGAGGGGCCAAAGAGAAGGACUGCUUUAGCAAUCUUAAUCUGCUGAGCGUUUACUAAGUGCAAGGCACUAUUCUGAGGGUUUCCGGGUAUUCAUUCAGUUAAUCCUCACAACUCUAGAAGCCAGUCAGCCGCACAGCCUGAACUUGGACCCGGGUCUGUCCGACGCACAGAUGGCUGAGCCUACCUCGAAGGCGAUGAUGAAGCCCAGACGCACAGCCAGCAGCUUCCAGUAGAAGAGGCAUCCAGUCCAGACUGCUCAGUGGAAAGGCGACCACAAAGAUGGUGAUGAAGCCAAAUGUCAGCAACGGGAGGUUGAGUGAAUGAAUGAAUGCAGGUGUUCGAGUUUCACAUUUACCCAAUGAUGCACUGGAACGUUACAGUUGAGAAAAUUGAAGCCCAGGGAUUUCCUUGGGGCAGCGGUUCAGACUCCAUGCUCCCAAUGCAGAGGGCCCAGGUUCGAUCCCUGGUCAGGGAACUAGAUCCCACGUGCAUGCCACAACUAAGAGUUCACAUGCUACAACUAAGGAGCCUGCGAGCCACAACUAAGGAGCCUGCCUGCCGCAACUAAGACCCACCACAACCAAAAUAAAUAAAUAAAUAAAUAUAUUUUUAAAAAAAUUGAAGUCCAGGGAAAUCAAGGACCAACUUCAAGGUCAAGACCUUGGUAGAGACAAAUCUAGAGGCUCAAGGAUGCUGCCACUCUGCUGGCAAAUCAUCUGAGAGUCGACAGCCUUGGUGGGGGUGUGGGGGGGAGUCCUCACCUGCCUUUGAAGAAUGCCACAAAGAAGGGAGAGGAGUAGAUGGACUCCCCUGGCGGUCCAGUGGUUAAGGCUCUGCACUCCCAGUGCAGAGGACGUGGGUUCUAUCCCUGGUUGGGGAAGAUCCAGCAUGCUGUGUGGAGUGGCCAAGAAAAACAAAAAAAGAAAGGAGAGGAGUAGAAAUUGACAAACUGGAAGAUGAAGACUUUAAAAGUGAAGGCAUCUUCAUGGAGGGUCUGGGCUCUGUGCAUCUCUGGGAGAAAGGCAGAGCUGGUCAGAGUUUUAUUGAGUGUAAGGGGGCAGGCCCAGCCCAUUGGGUCAGCUCAUAUGCUUCUGUCCCCAAUCCACCUUCCCCUAAGGCCAACCAUGCCCCCCUGGCCACCUUCAUCUGAGGUUGGCUGAGCAGGCUGGGGACACCGAGGUGGGAGCUGCAGGCUCUGAGAUGCAGGGAGCCCUGCCUCAGGGCUCACAGUUCCCAAGUGAUGCCAGGACACCCCUGCGAUCUCCUGCCCUUACUCAUCCCACCUGGUGAGUUGCUCAGCCAGUGAGGUGUAGAUCUGGACCAGGAGGAGGAUCAGUACCAGGUAGAGCACGGUGCUGCCGAUGUUGGCAACAU